CCUCAAUGUGGGCAACACAUGCUUCCUUAAUGCUGUCCUGCAAUGCCUGACAUACACCCCGCCGCUGGCCAACUAUCUGCUCUCCCGGGAGCACAGCCAGGCCUGUCGCCAACAAGGCUUCUGCAUGAUGUGCAUCAUGGAAGCGCAUGUUAACAAGGUCCUGCGUUCAGUCAGUGCCAUCCUGCCUUUGGCUGUUCUCAGGGGUUUCAGAUUCAUAGGAGAACAUUUUCAGCUUGGCAGGGAGGAAGAUGCCCAUGACUUCUUAUGCUGUACUGUCAAUGCCAUGCAGAGAGCUU